rnacentral:rRNA from 1 species
AUUGAACGCUAGCGGGAUGCUUUACACAUGCAAGUCGAACGGCAGCGCGAGAAAGCUUGCUUUCUUGGCGGCGAGUGGCGAACGGGUGAGUAAUGUAUCGGAACGUGCCCAGUAGCGGGGGAUAACUACGCGAAAGCGUGGCUAAUACCGCAUACGCCCUACGGGGAAAGGGGGGGAGUUCUUUCGGAACCCCUCCACUAUUGGAGCGGCCGAUAUCGGAUUAGCUAGUUGGUGGGGUAAAGGCCU